UGGGGAAUCUUGCACAAUGGGGGCAACCCUGAUGCAGCGACGCCGCGUGAGCGAUGAAGCCCUUCGGGGUGUAAAGCUCUUUCGGCAGGGAAGAUGAUGACGGUACCUGCAGAAGCAGCUGCGGCUAACUACGUGCCAGCAGCCGCGGUAAUACGUAGGCAGCGAGCGUUGUUCGGAGUUACUGGGCGUAAAGGGUGUGUAGGCGGUUGCUUAAGUUUGGUGUGAAAUCUCCCGGCUUAACUGGGAGGGUGCGCCGAAUACUGAGUGACUCGAGUGCGGGAGAGGAGAGUGGAAUUCCUGGUGUAGCGGUGAAAUGCGUAGAUAUCAGGAGGAACACCGGUGGUGUAGACGGCUCUCUGGACCGUAACUGACGCUGAGACACGAAAGCGUGGGUAGCAAACA
rnacentral:rRNA from 1 species